GCCAGACUCCUACGGGAGGCAGCAGUGGGGGAUAUUGCACAAUGGGGGGAACCCUGAUGCAGCGACGCCGCGUGGGUGAAGGAGUAUUUCGGUAUGUAAAGCCCUCUCAGCAGGGAAGAACAAUGACGGUACCUGACUAAGAAGCACCGGCUAAAUACGUGCCAGCAGCCGCGGUAAUACGUAUGGUGCAAGCGUUAUCCGGAAUGACUGGGUGUAAAGGGAGCGUAGACGGUUGUACAAGUCUGAUGUGAAAGCCCACGGCUCAACUGUGGGAGUGCAUUGGAAACUGUAGGACUAGAGUAUCGGAGAGGCAAGUGGAAUUCCUAGUGUAGCGGUGAAAUGCGUAGAUAUUAGGAGGAACACCGGUGGCGAAGGCGGCCUGCUGGACUGCGACUGACGUUGAGGCCCGAAAGCGUGGGGAGCAAACAGGAUUAGAUACCCCAGUACC
rnacentral:rRNA from 1 species